rnacentral:rRNA from 1 species
UGAUUCUGCCUGACGUGGGCGCUUGUCUUGAAGAUUUAGCCAUGCGAGCUAUCGAUUUUAAAUAAUUGAGGCGGACAGCUCAGUAAUACAGUUAUAAUUUACUCGUAGUAUGUAAACGGAUAACCAUGGUAAACUAUGGCUAAUACGUAACCAAAUUAUUAAUAAGGUAGGAAAAACAUAAUAAUUAAUACGAUUAAGUAUCUGACCUAUCAGCUAGAUGGUAAGGUAAAGGCUUACCAUGGCUAUGACGGGUAACGGGGAAUUAAAGUUCGAUUCCGGAGAGGGAGCCUGAGAAAUAGCUCCCACGUCCAAGGAUGGCAGCAGGCGCGAAAAUUACCCACUUCCUGAAAGGGGGAGGUAGUGAAGAGGCGUGUAAUUUAAAAUUAAAUUCGAUACUUUAAAUAAGUAUUUUUAAAAUUGGAGGGCAAGCCUGGUGCCAGCAGCCGCGGUAAUUCCAGCUCCAGUAGCGCAUAUAAUAGUUGCUGCAGUUAAAACGUCCGUAGUUGACUACUAUAUGGUACUAUGAACAAAAUGUGUACCUCAAAAGAAAUAUAUAUAGCAUGGAACAUUGUAGAGAUAGGAAUAGAUGAUGGCAGUAGCA